rnacentral:rRNA from 1 species
CGCGGCCUAUCAGCUUGUUGGUGAGGUAAUGGCUCACCAAGGCGUCGACGGGUAGCCGGCCUGAGAGGGUGACCGGCCACACUGGGACUGAGACACGGCCCAGACUCCUACGGGAGGCAGCAGUGGGGAAUAUUGCACAAUGGGCGCAAGCCUGAUGCAGCAACGCCGCGUGAGGGACGACGGCCUUCGGGUUGUAAACCUCUUUCAGCAGGGACGAAGCGCAAGUGACGGUACCUGCAGAAGAAGCGCCGGCCAACUACGUGCCAGCAGCCGCGGCAAGACGUAGGGCGCGAGCGUUGUCCGGAUUUAUUGGGCGUAAAGAGCUCGUAGGCGGCUUGUCGCGUCGACUGUGAAAACCCGUGGCUCAACUGCGGGCCUGCAGUCGAUACGGGCAGGCUAGAGUUCGGUAGGGGAGACUGGAAUUCCUGGUGUAGCGGUGGAAUGCGCAGAUAUCAGGAGGAACACCGAUGGCGAAGGCAGAUCUCUGGGCCGUAACUGACGCUGAGGAGCGAAAGGGUGGGGAGCAAACAGGAUUAGAUACCCUGGUAGUCCACGCCGUAAACGCUGGGCACUAGGUGUGGGACCUUAUCAACGGGUUCCGUGCCGUAGCUAACGCAUUAAGUGCCCCGCCUGGGGAGUACGGA